rnacentral:rRNA from 1 species
ACGCUCGACACCUACGGGGGCAGCAGUGGGGAAUAUUGCACAAUGGGGGAAACCCUGAUGCAGCGACGCCGCGUGGAGGAAGAAGGUCUUCGGAUUGUAAACUCCUGUUGUUGGGGAAAAAGAGGAUGGUACCCAACAAGGAAGUGACGGCUAACUACGUGCCAGCAGCCGACGGUAAUCUGAGGCGGGCGUGGACGAAGGC